AGUUUGAUGGAAAAGACAUUGCAUAUGAAGAAAAGCAAAACACAAUUCAAAACCAGUCAACAAAAGUGCAUUCUAGCAAAUUUAAAGUCAUACAAGAAAUCCUUCUUCACAUUCUUCAAGAAGAAUCAAAAUUAUCUUCUGAGCAUCUUUUUUGUGUGGAUUUACAGAACAAAGGAGAACAAAGCAAUAAGUAACAUCCAACAGAACUGUGAGGACUCAGAUGUCAUUUGUUCCGAAUUCCAUCUUUCAUUUGAAAGGCAGCCAGGAGAUGUUCAGCUUGAGCAGAAAGACAAAGAGAUUCAUGCAUGUCAGUGCCCUACAAAUGUACUCUUACACUUGGAGGCCUUUGAUUUUGUAUUUCUUCAACCCGAAGGUCAUUUAGCAAACUACUUUGAUUCGGUAUUUUGUAAUCUCCGCAAUAAUGGUUUGUUGUGCUUGACUUCCUCGGACAUAUCAGUGCAGUUCACACGGACAGCUAAUGUGAUCAGGCGUUACUGCCAUGCACAAGUGACCAAGACAGAGUACAUGAGGGAGAUGGCCGUACGGGUUAUAAUUGGGUGUGCCGUGAGAUCAGCUUCUAGAUGUAACAAAGGACUGGAGGUUCUGAUGACACCCUGUGUGGAGGACAAUUUCCUUAUAGUAAUGAGAGUACAUCGGGGACCACAGCACGCUGACCACUGUCUCGAUCAAGUCAAACCUCAGCUGUACUGUCAGAUCUGUGAAGAGCAGUGUUUUUUACCAGGUGGUCUGACACCAAUAGAAAAUCCCUAUGCAUUGCUGGCUUGUACCUGUCAUGAAAAAACCCCAGGGAGGACAGCUAUUGUACUAGGACCAAUGUGGUCAGGGAGUAUAUUCAACACCACCUUCAUAUCAAACUUAUUGAAGCCACAUGAAGAUUUACCAGAACACAGUAGUCAGUUUAAGAAAGUUCUGCAGAGUAUUCAGGAGGAGGCCGUUUGUUCCCACUUGGAUGUUUCAGAGACAAAUGGAGACCACCACCAGAGAGACCUAGGGGAACCAGAGGCAAAAAGACCAAAAAUUGAACAUUCUCAACACCCAACCACCACCCACCCUCCAUUUUAUAUCAACCUUCACAAAAUGAAAUUCAAAGAUGUUAUCAUCCCAAAAAUGCGAAAAGUUUUAAGUUUUCUGAGAUCUGAAGGUUAUCGAGCAAGCCGGACUCAUUUCGACUCAAACAGUGUGAGGACCAAUGCAAAUAGGACUCAGUUUCAUGAUGUAUUAUUAAAAUUUUGCAAAAAAAGCAGGAAAGAAUAAAAUCGUAACUUUAAUUUUAUUUUAUUUUUAAAUAUUUAUUAUUUUCACUGCUGAUUUACCUUAGAUUAAAGUAUGCAAUCUUC
rnacentral:misc_RNA from 1 species